rnacentral:rRNA from 1 species
UACAGAGGGUGCAAACGUUGCUCGGAAUCACUGGGCGUAAAGGGCGUGUAGGCGGGACAGUAAGUCGGGCGUGAAAUCCCUGGGCUCAACCCAGGAACUGCACUCGAAACUACUAUUCUUGAGUGUCGGAGAGGAAAGCGGAAUUCCUGGUGUAGAGGUGAAAUUCGUAGAUAUCAGGAGGAACACCAGUGGCGAAGGCGGCUUUCCGGACGAUAACUGACGCUGAGACGCGAAAGCGUGGGGAGCAAACAGG